ACAACCGCAGAACAAUUUUUUGUCUGUUGUCAAAGGUUGCCUUGAGUUUUCAGCUGACUUUUUGGAAAAUAUUCAAAACAAACCAAGUUGACAGCCAAAUCAAUGCAUAAUUUCAGUUCAACUUGCUGAUUUUUACCCUGCGGAAGUUAGGCGGCAAUAAUCUCCUGUAACUCACAGCGAUGGAGAAACGUGAUUUUAUCUCGCAAUAAGCAAUAAUAAGUAUCAACAAACGAACCUACCCUGUCACGGCGUUCUAGCAGGAUUCUAGCAGAGUUCUUACAGAGCUGGAUAUUCUUACAGAAUUCUAGCAGAAAUGUUCGACCGUUCUAGCAGGAUUCUGACAGAACCAGCUUUGCUAGAGUAUUUCGUGACUGGGUAACAUGACACUUAAUAUGUGCAGCCGUCGCUCUUGCAACGGACACACCAUUACACUGAACCCGUGCGACGCUCCUGAAACGAACGCACCAUAGUUGAGCGAGCUGUCAAAGUUUUUCACUCGCGCGUGCUCGAUCCUGUCUGUGUCUGUAUUCGGUCGCAGUGUUAACCGAAAUUUUCAACGGUAAAUCGCGUGUGCUCGUGAAAAAGUAACAUCCAGCGGUUGGCCUCAGGAUUCUGAAUGCGUUCCUGGUGUUGGACACAUCCGCCGGGUGUUCGAACUGUUCCGACGAUGGCGAAGAGUUUUGCUUUAAAACAACGAAUGUUUCAGGUGGGUUAUAUUUGCGGAGGGCGGAAUCCCGUCCCACGGCAUACAUUUUCUUUUGCCUGCUUGAGCUGCUUGGAUAUUGGCUGAUGCAUGAAGUGAUUUGUUCAUCUUUUUUCGGCACACUCAACAAACGUCAAACCAAACAAAAUUGCUGCCGGAUCUUUUCCGGGAGAGAUCCGGAAAAAGAUCCGGCAGCAAUUUUUACUGAUUUGACAUUUGCUGAGGAUGCCGAAAAGUUUUUUUUGUGUUACUCUCGCAAAAGACAAUUAGGUUUUACGCCGACUCGAUUUGGAGGAUAGAAAAGAGUGCACAGUUCGAUGCGGUCGUCGAUUUUGUUCGGUGAAAUUCGUCGACAAUCGACGAAGACCAUGUAAACAGUGCACACGAGCUGUCAAAUGACGUCACGGCGUAAAACCUAAUUAGGUUUCACAGCUUGACAUCAUGAGCGCACACGCACACACAUUUUUACUGACACACGUGUAAAAAAUGUAAACAGUAAAGGCAAGCUGUCAAAUUUCUAACCUUAAACUCGAGUCGGCGUAAAACCUGAUUGGCUGAUGCAAGAAGUGAUUUGUCUUCAUUUUUCGACUCUCCCAACCAACGUCAAACCACUCAAAAUUGCUGUCGGAUCUUUUCCGGAAGAGAUCCGGCAGCAAGUUUGUACUGAUUUACGUUUGCUGCGGGUGCCGAAAAGUUUGGUUAUGUUGCUGCAUGUAAAAACAAUACGAUCAUUUAGUGUUUUUAUUCAACAGGGAACAUUUCGCCUACGGGGUGAACUUCGCGCUCGAUUUGGACGAGGAAAGCCGCAACAGAAUCACUCGACAAGAUCGCCAAGAAGUUGGCUUUUCUACAAGGACGAUCGUGGAUGGCGUGUGGCCCAAUUUGUGCUGCCGGGGAGUACCAGUCCGGUCGCAAUCAUCAGACGAUAGAGGAACAUCAUUGCACAUGGGUCAAAUGAUCACCAAGGGAACAUUCCCAACACAACCGGCACUAACGAAACCAGCAAAUCAAUCCGGAGUCUCCAGUCGACAAAAAGGAGCCGGUGGUCAGUUUAAACGCACCAUGACAUCACCCAUCCGAGGAGAAACAAGAAUCGGUCGCGAUCGAGAUCGAAAGCGAAAGAAAGCGGCUUCGUUUUGGUGUUUGCAAAACUCUAGAGAAGACAUUAUCAAUUAACAAUUGAAAAAAAAAACAAAGUUAUUCAAUGUUGAAUGUAAAUAAAUUACAAUGAAUAAUAUAAAAGUACUGUAAAACAUACUGUAUUUACUAUUUAUUUUAAUGUCCGAAUAUUGUUGUCACAGUACAAUUUAGUAGGGAACAAACCAUGAAAACAAUAAUUUUACUGUGUAAUUCAUUGUAAUGCUUAUUAGUUUUAUUGUCCGCAUAUAGUUUUUACCGCAUCAUUCAGUAGAUAAGAAACCAUGAAGAACUGUAAAUUGACUGUGCAUUGCAUUGUAAUGCUUGCUGUAUUUAUUAUUAAUGCAUGAUGUUUUCUAUAGUCAGGACGAGUUUUUGGAUGAAAAAUGCAACAUUAGAUUAACAGUAAAAUGCGUCGUAUUUGGAAAAAAAUUGCAUGGAAAAAUUUCGAAAUUUUUAUGGUACCGGUGCAUAACAACCCCCCUUUUUUAUGGUAAAGUCCCAAAAUACGACGCAAAUUAUCUUAAAAAACGAUGCUGUCUACUGUUAAAACACUGUCAAAAUGACAAUAUAUUUUAUCGUUUUGUAACGUUAAAAUUUACUGUAAGUUCAUCGGAAAUCUUUA